UAUGGCCGGUGCGGGCGUGCGUCUGGCAAACCUGUCUGAGUUUAUCGAAGCAGGUGUCAAAGAAGUCCACAGUUCAGCGGGGAUGCAGGAACCUUCCCCAAUGCGCUGGCGCCAGAGCGCUGUGUCAAUGGCCUCUGGCGAAGUUGCCGACGAAUACAUGCGCUAUCGUGUAGAUCCUUCUGCGGUAGCCGCAAUGAAAACCGCCCUCGCUGCGAAGUAGCGCGCAGCGACUGACCACACAGCCAUUAUCGCGCAUCCUGUUGCCCAACAAUGAUGUUUGCAAGUACCAGGCCCCGGGUUUUCCGGGGCUUUUUU
rnacentral:ncRNA from 1 species